rnacentral:rRNA from 1 species
UACAGAGGUCCCGAGCGUUGUUCGGAUUCAUUGGGCGUAAAGGGUGCGUAGGUGGCGCUGUAAGUGGGGUGUGAAAUCCCGGGGCUUAACUCCGGAACUGCAUUCCAUACUGCGGUGCUUGAGGACUGGAGAGGAGACUGGAAUUUACGGUGUAGCGGUGAAAUGCGUAGAUAUCGGAAGGAACAUCAGUGGCGAAAGCGACUUCCUGGACCAAUACCGACGCUCAUGUGCGAAAGCGUGGGGAGCAAACAGG